UCUUUUGUAAGAACUUUUUGGCUGAUUUUCUUUCCGCAUUGCUAAACUAUUAUAUGUCUAACUAUAUGUCAAAAGUCUCGAAAAAGAUCUCGAAAUUGAUUUUUAUCUACUCUUUACGAUAAUAAGAUCAAUGAAGUAUCAAUCAUACGUAUUAUCAUAAUAAUAAUCUUCUUGUACAUACGUAUACGUAUGAUAUAAUUAAUUAUGUUAUGCAAAUAAUUAAGAAUGUAAAAUUUUCGUUAAUGGAACUGCGUUAUUUAAUUUGUUCAAGAUCAUGUUGUCAUUCAUUUAUCCAAUUUACAUUACAUAUCAGAGUAAUUCUAAAGGUCAGGAGUUUACACACGUGUACAAAAAUGUGAAUCUGCAAUUUUUUUUCGAGUCGGUUAUUGCUUAGUCACGCAACGUUAAAUCGAUAGAUUUACGUAAGAUGUUUAUCGUAAAGAAAUUUGUGGAAGAUUUAUACCUGCGUAUAAACUUGACACACGAGGCAUGCAUUUUUAUAAGAGCACCAUCUGGUCAUUAUCGAAUAAUUUGCGGUCGAUAAUUUGCUGAGUUAUAUCACCUUUUGAACGAGCGUUAAUGUUACUAACAGAGACAAUCAAUCGUAAAAUGACCUUUCUACGACGUUGUCCACGAUUAAGAGGUAAGCUCCAAAAAAAAAGAAUGGAAUACUGUAAUUCAGUGUUAACGGAUUCAAGACAAUAGUUUCGAGAUAAAAAUUCAAGGCGUUAAUUAGGAUCUAACGAGAGGGUAUUCGAGAACAAUACCUAGGCACACCUAUUGAGAGAACACUUGAAAGACAACGACGCUUUACGCGACACCUGAUACCAAGAACGUUCCUUCCUUUGCCAAGAGAAAAUACGAAGAGUCUAAACCAGUUUUUCCUCUUUGAAAAGAAACUCUCAGCUCUAUGUAAAUUAUAUUAAAUAAAAGAAAUCGUAAUGUUUAUGAAUAUUGAUUAACUAUUGCAGGAAAUGCAAUACCGAACAAGUUUCACUACUCCACCUAAUGAUUCUUAAAAAUAUAUCUAUAGGGUGUCCAACUUGGUACAAAGGUGUCGUUUUAUCUUCCAUAGGUUUAAACGAGGAACAAACAAAAUUAUUUUCAAGGAUCUAUCGAUUCAAUUACAUAGAUAUCAAGAGACAGUCGAUUCUCCAGGUUAUCUUUAUAGAUACGAAUAAAAAAAAAUCAAAAUCACGAACGAAAAACAGUGAGAUUUGGCUAAAUAUCCUUUUAAUUCGCGUUGCUUGACGAAAAUUACAAAAGAAGAAAAAAAGAAAAAAAAAGAGAAAAUAUGAAAGAAGAGAGAAAGAAAAAAGGAUAGAGAAAAAAGAAAAGAAAAAUCCACGAAAAUUGUAACACCCUUUAUACCGGUAUGGGGAUAUUUAUUUAUAGAAAAGCAUGCAGAAUAAAUCCUAUAUCGAGGUUUCGCAAACUCGAAUCUUAUCUUUGCUCUGUGUAUUUCGAAGCAAGAGUGGAGCACGAUUGGAGUUGGACUUCGUAGCAGUUUUCCAAGCGAUGGUACGUCGAACGAUAAGGAAAGUACUUGGUUGGCUUCGACUCAUUAAUAAUAAUCGCCGAUGGUCAUUUAUUUUCGAAAGGAAAUCUCGAGGACGGCGGAUAGUCGAGUUGCAGCACGGAUUCACCUGCUUUACUCGUUCUUCCCCUCGUUCAAAGAGGAUUCCUGUGGCUCUUUCUUGGCAUGUCGCGUACCAUCGCCACCACCGACGACCAUUAUCGGUGCGAGGAGCAUCGGUAGGCGAGAUCACAGCACAGCAAGAGAGCAUAUACAUGUAUACUUACACACAGCUAUACCUAUAUAUAAUUGUGUGUAUGCGUGUGUAUAUAAACGUUUGGCGUUCUCCUACGAUGGCCUUGGCUCAAUGUCGCGAGCUCGUUGGCCGGUUCGUUGCGUGUCGGUUCUCCUUGCAACGAAGAGAGAGACUUACGCGCGCGCACUUUUCUGUCGGCUUGUGAAAUAGCCGACGCUAGUCGCGUGUGUAUAUGAAAGAAAAAGAGAGAGAGAGAGAGAGAGACACGUUCGGAGGGUCAAGAGGCACGAAAACACGCUUUGCUUGCACCCCGUGGGCGAGUUAUAGCGGUGAUUAAUUUUCUCUCAAGCAAAAGGGUAGAACAGCUGCUUCCUGAGGUUCAUUCAUAAAUUUCCUUUUAUUCGAUAUGUUACACGAGGACCAUCAAGAGCGAGCGAGCGAACGAACGAGCGAGGAAGAGAAAGAGAGAGAGAAAGAGAAAGAAUUAGAAUUUUCGAACUUUGUCAUAGUUUUACGGCGGUGGUCUUUCACGUGGCUCGCCGGUGGCAAAUUUCACCAUGAGACUCUUAGCACAUACCUAUGUUGUAUAAAUUCAAUGAUACGAUGCGAUUACGAGGCAUCGUUAAACGCAUAGCAAAAAUAUGAUUUCUAUGGGAUGUGUAUAUAUGUAUAUCUAUAUAGGUGUACAUAUUCAUCCUUCUAGAUCGAUCGAUCGAUCGUUUCGACUUGCUAUUUCAAUCGUUCUUUAUAGGAUAAUAUCGAUCAUUCGAAAUAAUAGUUAGCUCACGAUAUAGUAGGCGGUAGCACAUCGUUCUUAUACAUUCAUACAUACAUAUACAUAUACCAACGUAAAUAAAUACCUAUUUAUAUACAAUAUCUAUAUAUUAAUUAUUUUU